CCAAUCAAGAAAGCUCUUUAGUCUACCGCCUGAUCUCAUCUGGUCUCGGAAGCUAAGCAGGGUCGGGCCUGGUUAGUACAUGGAUGGGAGACAGAUCUUCAGAGGAGACUGCUCAGAGACAAGGAGUUUGGA
ensembl:rRNA 5S_rRNA 5S ribosomal RNA